rnacentral:rRNA from 1 species
CCGCAUAGUAUCUGUGGAUUAAAGGUGGCUUUUGGGCUGUCGCAGAUGGAUGAGCCUGCGUUGGAUUAGCUAGUUGGUAGGGUAAGGGCCUACCAAGGCUGCGAUCCAUAGCUGAUUUGAGAGGAUGAUCAGCCACAUUGGGACUGAGACACGGCCCAAACUCUUACGGGAGGCAGCAGUGAGGAAUAUUGGACAAUGGGGGCAACCCUGAUCCGGCAAUGCCAUGUGUGUGAAGAAGGCCUUAGGGUUGUAAAGCACUUUAGUUGGGGAAGAAAGCUUUGAGGUUAAUAGCCUUGAGGAAGGACGUUACCCAAAGAAUAAGCACCGGCUAACUCCGUGCCAGCAGCCGCGGUAAUACGGGGGGUGCAAGCGUUAAUCGGAAUUACUGGGCGUAAAGGGUCUGUAGGUGGUUUGUUAAGUCAGAUGUGAAAGCCCAGGGCUCAACCUUGGAACUGCAUUUGAUACUGGCACACUAGAGUACGGUAGAGGAAUGAGGAAUUUCUGGUGUAGCGGUGAAAUGCGUAGAGAUCAGAAGGAACACCAAUGGCGAAGGCAACAUUCUGGACCGAUACUGACACUGAGGGACGAAAGCGUGGGGAUCAAACAGGAUUAGAUACCCUGGUAGUCCAUGCUGUAAACGAUGAGUACUAGCUGUUGGAGUCGGUGUAAAGGCUCUAGUGGCGCAGCUAACGCGAUAAGUACUCCGCCUGGGGACUACGGCCGCAAGGCUAAAACUCAAAGGAAUUGACGGGGAUCCGCACAAGCGGUGGAGCAUGUGGUUUAAUUCGAUGCAACGCGAAGAACCUUACCUGGUCUUGACAUCCUGCGAGCUUUCUAGAAAUAGAUUGGUGCCUUAGGGAACGCAGUGACAGGUGCUGCACGGCUGUCGUCAGCUCGUGUUGUGAAAUGUUGGGUUAAGUCCCGCAACGAGCGCAACCCCUAUUGAUAGUUACCAUCAUUAAGUUGGGUACUCUAUUGAGACUGCCGCUGACAAGGCGGAGGAAGGUGGGGACGACGUCAAGUCAUCAUGGCCCUUACGACCAGGGCUACACACGUGCUACAAUGGGUAUUACAGAGGGCUGCAAAGGAGCGAU